CUCGUAGGCGGCCAACUAAGUCAUACGUGAAAUCCCUCGGCUUAACCGGGGAACUGCGUCUGAUACUGGAUGGCUUGAGAUUGGGAGAGGGAUGCGGAAUUCCAGGUGUAGCGGUGAAAUGCGUAGAUAUCUGGAGGAACACCGGUGGCGAAGGCGGCAUCCUGGACCAACACUGACGCUGAGGAGCGAAAGCCAGGGAGCAAC
rnacentral:rRNA from 1 species